AAAUGUAUUAAAGUUGUGUAAAGAAAAAGUACUUAUUAUGGAUAGAAAUAAUUUACUCAUACCCAAAACUGAUUUGGUUAUCAGACACCUGAAACGAAACCAACCUCAAAUUCUUGCUACAUACAAAUUGAAUAUGAGUUGUAAUCCAAUACGGGAAAAUAAUGUAUACAUAGUUAUGCCCUUCUAUAGGAAUAUAUAUGGGUUCAAAAAAUUUAUUUUGGAAUACAUACGUAAACAAGCUGACCAGAGUACAAAUGUCAGAUACAGAAACAUAGUUAAGAAUCUAAAUUUAGUUUUAUCAUUUAAAAAGGUGAACUCUCUUGAAAUGUACUGCAAAACUCAGCCAACAAAAUAAUGUGAAUUUUAGAGUGUAAGUUUCAACAUUACAAUUCAACAUUACUCGAGGAAACAUAUUUUUAAUAAUCACCAAAUAGCCUGAUGAAGCUGAAUUAUAUUGCGAAACGCGUCGCUUGGUGAAUAAAACUAAAUCUUUGAAAUCAGUUGGAUUUGUUCCCUUCUCACUUUUCAUAAUUUUUUUGGUCACUUCCCGUCAGAUAUUUUAUAAAAUUUAUAUGUACAUCUAUAUUUAUUUAAUUACCCCAUUUUAUAUGGUACAGAUAUUUUUUAAAUGUGUAUAAUAAAUUUACAAGGAUUCGAUUCUUAUGUAUGGGUCAUAGAUAAUAUUGAAUAGAUUCCUCAAUUUUCUUCUUAACGGACUUGUAUAAUAUUUUGGAACGUAAGUAAUAACAACAUAAUAAAAACCUUGCAGACAAUAA